AGUGUUUGGAGCUAGCUCCAGAGAGAGUGAAGUCAUGCUUGUCAUCUGGGGCUGUCUCCUUAG
ensembl:miRNA Mir6938 microRNA 6938